UACGUAGGUGGCGAGCGUUGUCCGGAAUUACUGGGUGUAAAGGGAGCGUAGGCGGAAAGGCAAGUCGGAUGUGAAAUACCCGGGCUCAACCCGGGGGCUGCAUCCGAAACUGUUUUUCUUGAGUGAGGUAGAGGCAGGCGGAAUUCCUAGUGUAGCGGUGAAAUGCGUAGAUAUUAGGAGGAACACCAGUGGCGAAGGCGGCCUGCUGGGCCUAACUGACGCUGAGGCUCGAAAGCGUGGGGAGCAACAG
rnacentral:rRNA from 1 species